CCUACGGGUGGCUGCAGUCGAGAAUCAUUCACAAUGGGGGAAACCCUGAUGGUGCGACGCCGCGUGGGGGAAUGAAGGUCUUCGGAUUGUAAACCCCUGUCAUGUGGGAGCAAAUUAAAAAGAUAGUACCACAAGAGGAAGAGACGGCUAACUCUGUUCCCGCAGCCGCGGUAAUACAGAGGUCUCAAGCGUUGUUCGGAAUCACUGGGCGUAAAGCGUUCGUAGGCUGUUUCGUAAGUCGUGUGUGAAAGGCGCGGGCUCAACCCGCGGACGGCACAUGAUACUGCGAGACUAGAGUAAGGGAGGGGGAACCGGAAUGCUCGGUGUAGCAGUGAAAUGCGUAGAUAUCGAGAGGAACACUCGUGGCGAAGGCGGGUUCCUGGACAUUAACUGACGCUGAGGCACGAAGGCCAGGGGAGCGAAAGGGAUUAGAUACCCCUGUAGUC
rnacentral:rRNA from 1 species